AAGGUAUCUUUGUUGCACCUGGCAGAAUUGUCAACAGACAGUGACUAUCUCUUAGUGGUAAUUCGCAUAUAACAUGUAGGCUUCAAUGAAAAAGACCACGCGAUUUUUUAAAGCGAGAUUAGCUUUAGGGAAUGCAGUAAAAAGCAGUGACUUGAGUUUUCGAAGUGUUGCUCCUUAACUGACACACCCAGUUGUUUCCCUCGGAACAACUCUUUUCCCACAUGGCAACAUCAUGCCUCGUGGGAAGAAUAUCAUGAACGAAGACACCUUCGAUCGUGGAAUCUGGAAGACUGGUCGACAGAGAGGGAUUACAUCUCAUUAGGGAAUGCAGUAAAAAGCAUGGACUUGAAUCUAU